rnacentral:rRNA from 1 species
GAUUAUGGCUCAGGAUGAACGCUAGCUACAGGCUUAACACAUGCAAGGUCGAGGGGCAGCAUGAGAUUAGCUUGCUAAUCUUGAUGGCGACCGGCGCACGGGUGAGUAACGCGUAUCCAACCUUCCCCCUACUCAGGCAUAGCCCGGUGAAAACCGGAUUAACUCCUGAUAGUUUCACUAGAUGGCAUCUGACGGUGAAUAAAGCUCAGCGGUAAGGGAUGGGGAUGCGUCUGAUUAGCUUGUUGGCGGGGUAACGGCCCACCAAGGCUACGAUCAGUAGGGGUUCUGAGAGGAAGGUCCCCCACAUUGGAACUGAGACACGGUCCAAACUCCUACGGGAGGCAGCAGUGAGGAAUAUUGGUCAAUGGGCGCGAGCCUGAACCAGCCAAGUAGCGUGCAGGACGACGGCCCUAUGGGUUGUAAACUGCUUUUGUGCGGGAAUAAAGUCAGGGACGUGUCCCUGUUUGCAUGUACCGCAAGAAUAAGGACCGGCUAAUUCCGUGCCAGCAGCGGC